GCCAAUGUCAUCCGCUCCUCUCUCUGCGUCGAUCACGAUCUCCUCUGCCACACCACCAUCCACGACCUCCUUUCUGCAAUCUACAUCGCGCCGUAAACAGCCGCAAAUGGCCGCGUCGAGGUUGGCUUCGUUUAAUCACUUGCUUCUCUCUUUUGUAAUUUUUUGUAAUAUUUUUUUUGUUGGAGAUGAAGAAGAGAGGAGAGUUUCCAAAAAUACCGAGAAAGAGAGAGGUGGAGAGUUGGCGGAUAUGGCGAGUUGUGUACUGGAAUCCGUAGUCGAGGAUGAGGAUGGGGUUCCGACAACGUCGUCGGCAGUGGCGGCGACGCCCCUUUU
rnacentral:lncRNA from 1 species